rnacentral:lncRNA from 1 species
GUCGUCAUCUUGACAGUUGAACACAUUCCUAAUCUUCUCCGCGAUCAUGAGAGCUAGAGUGGUCUUCCCUGACCCAGGGACCUGCUAGGCUAUCACCCCUUCCUCUUCUCUUCUGUAAUGAACCAUGGCAACUACAGAAGAGCUUCUAGCAUCUGCUGUUACUAGCACAUGCAGAGAGCACACCACAAAAUGAGGUCAACUUGAAGGAAUGCAGAAACCAGAUGUGGAACUAAGAGGAAGAAAAACACACAGACACAGAAUAAGACAGUCAGGAUCUCCAGCAGCUCGCUCUCCACCAACUUCCUUGCCAGCUCAGCAUCCGCUGAUAGCAGGUUGUGGGCAAUGACCAGGCCCCGGUGCUGCACCGACAACUGGUCAUGCAGGCAAAGCCGCUGUAGGAUCUCCAGCCACUGGGUUGUCUGCAGAGUGGAAGUGGGUGAGGGAGGAUUUAAAGAAUCAGUGAGGAGGCAGUGGAAAGACUUGACAACAAAAAAAAAAAAAAACAAAAAGUAUCAGACGUGCCCACAGCUAAGUAACUUGAUUAUGACCACAUAUCUAUAAACAGUAAUAAACUAAACUAAAAUAGACUAAU